CAGCCGCCACGGUAAUACGAAGGGUGCAAGCGUUACUCGGAAUUACUGGGCGUAAAGCGUGCGUAGGUGGUGGUUUAAGUCCGUUGUGAAAGCCCUGGGCUCAACCUGGGAAUUGCAGUGGAUACUGGGCCACUAGAGUGUGGUAGAGGAUAGUGGAAUUUCCGGUGUAGCAGUGAAAUGCGUAGAGAUCGGAAGGAACAUCUGUGGCGAAGGCGACUAUCUGGGCCAACACUGACACUGAGGCACGAAAGCGUGGGGAGCAAACAGGAUUAGAUACCCGAGUAGUCCCUGUCUCUUAUAC
rnacentral:rRNA from 1 species